AUUUGUACUCAAUCUCCUCUUUCUUUUUCUUUCUCUCCCUCUCGUUGGAUUUCUUCACCACCAUAUUUUUUUUUCCUUUUCCAUAUCACUAUUUCUCUCCUUCGUCGGGUAUCACCACCCAGUCUCACUACUCCGACCCACCAGACCACCACCACAACUAUCAAAAUCAUCAUCACCAUCAAUACUAAAUUUCGCUAAUUCCGACCCACCACCUUCAUCAAUAUUUACCGCCACCCCCACCAAGCUUGAACCACCGUCAUCAACACCAACACCACCGUUACCACAUCUUCCCCUCUUUCCCCAACUGAUCUUAUUUUUACACCUUCUUUAUCUCCUCCGACAUCGGGUCGAGCUUCUUCGACAACAACUCUAUUUUAUGUCCAUCGCCGUUCAUAAUUCUUAAUUUGCCUCCAUCGCCAUAUAUGCUUAAUUUGUCUAUCUAUCUAUUUGUUUAUCUAUAGAGGUGAGUAUUUAGAAUCUUUUUUCUUGUAGGAUUAAUAAUUGAUUAUAAAAUUUCUUUAGUUAUCAUAUUAUACAAUAAGAUUGUAUAAAUUCAUGAAUCUUUUUUAUUAUAAGGA
rnacentral:lncRNA from 1 species